CUCAGUAUUAAUUCUGCAAAAAAGAAAAUUGCUGUGUUUGGCAGACGUCUCCCCAAACCUGAACGCUAAAGACUAAAUAACUGUUAUCGACAGUGACGUUGCUCAGUUCCUGGGAAUACUUUUCAUCACUAACCACCACCCCCCCGGCAGAUCCCAGCAGACGCCCCCCAUCCCGGGGGGGGGCAGGAGCAGAGAGGCAGAGGGUCUUUUUUUUCCUGCGAGGGGGCCUCUUUAGAGCUGAGACUGAUCAUGAGCGACACCUGCUCCCCAUUUUCUGGGAUACACGACUCUCCCAAACUGCUGGAAGCAUGACAGCAAAAUAGGGUUCACCCUCUUCUAAAUUUCCAAUGACACUUGCUGUCAAUACGAGGAGUUCUGGCCAACGGCUGGCCCAGGCUCCUGGAUAAACAGCCAUGAACCUGAGCAAGGGCAGCAACACAACAAAUCCAACACACACUGAGAUUUGGAUUUAGAGAGGUGACAUUUCUUGAUUACUAAUCCACCCCUGAAGGCACCAUUCGCUGGAUUUGGGGGAAAAAGAGCUAAACGGUCAUUCUCUUUUAGUGCUCACUCCCAUCCGAUAACUUCAAAACUUGCCUUGUCUGCCGUGGAGCAAACACAAGAGCCUGUGUUUCUCGGCAGCUCCCUCUCCGCCUUCCCCUCUGUGACGUCCCUCCCUGGGCAGGGGAGCAGGGCGGCCUGCGAGCUCGUGCUGGGAGUGAACCGUUAAGGUACCUGCAUGUGGAACUUUCUGGCAGACGAUGACCUCGGUCCCUGGCUGCUGCUGGCCUCGCUGGCAUUUCCAGCUCACCAUGCAGGUGUGAAGGGCAGUGCGGCCCGCCAGGGUCCGGCCGCGCUCUCACGAUGCCUGCUGGCGACCUCAGCAGGUGCCCGGGAAGCUCCAAGACCCCGGUUCCCAUUUUCGGACUUUGGCUAGAGAACAACCGGGGUGCAGCAACAGAGGCCAGUCCUGGGGUGCCCCAGGUGCGUGGGGGAAAUGUGGCCUUGGACAGGCUGAACGAAGAGACCAUCCCGCAAGACCAAGGACCCAGGGGCCAGCGGUGUUCUUGCCGGAGAGCAGCGGUUCUCAAAGUGUGGUCCCUGAGGCAGUAGCAUCAGCAUCACGCGGCGGGUUCAGAACCUGUGUUUCAUCGACUUGGAGAACCACACAGCAAGGGGACAAGUUUUGAUCAAACGCUUUUCUGCUCCUCACGCUCUGCUGAAUGUCACCGGGGUCAGGAACUGUGGCAUUAAACACUCGCCUACUGUUGGUCCAGACCUGCGGCCCGGGGAGAGGAGGGUGGAGGGGAGGUGUCAGGCCCAGCCCAGGAAGGGAGGUGAGUGACCCUACAGAGGCCAGGCGUCCAGAGAGGUGGGGCUGGGAUGGAAUCUAUAAAUCCCUUUCCAGAAAGUCCAAACGCCCCAUGUGUUAUAAAUGAACAUGCCUUUUUCAUGACAGAAAGCCUCUCCUUGAGCCGGAGGGUGAGAAGGUCAGAGAGAGGAGAGUUGGUUGUUGAAAUUUGUGUCUUUCCAAAGCACGCUGUCAGCAUUUUGGGGCAGUUCCUGAAGGCUGGUCUCCACCCCAGCCAAGGCCAGCUCCUAGCCUGGGUUUUCAGAGCAGGUUCAGUCCGGUUCCUGCCCCUUUGUCUCCAGGCUGGGAGCCCACCGAGGAGCCCACUUACCUGUCCCUGCUCGGUGCCCUGAACUGGGUUCCCACCCCGUGGGCCUCCUCGGCCCCUCCACUGGAGAGGAGGGCAGGCCUCUGUGCCCAUUUGUCCUGGCAGGGACAGUGGGGCUGUAGCUGUCCUUGACUGUCUGAGAUGAGGGAUGCUCCCCAGCUCGGCACCAUCAGGGAUUCCUCCCAGCUCCUUCAAGAGGAGCUUUAGCUCUAAUUCCUUUUGCAAACAAACAAACAAACAACCCACAAAGUUUUGCAAGUCAGCUUCUAUAUAAGCGUUAGGUAUUUAUGAGGAUUUAGGAAACGGAUGAUCUGUCCAGAAGUAGGUGCAUCUGGCUGUGCUGUGUCCCUUCAGAUCCUGACCUGGGGAGAAUUUGAGGAGGCUGGGAACCUGGCACCACAAGACCCAAGAUUUGCUUUGCAAAAGAAACCACCCUAUCAGUGUGGUUUUCUUACAGAUUGAAGCCAAUCUACCCACGCUUCCUCUCCAGGCCCUCUGAGCAGGUGUGCAGUGUUGUAUGAUACUCAGCUGGAGUCACAUGCAUCCUCUAGGGGAGGAGUUGACCAAGCUACCUCCCCAGCAGCCCACCGCCCUCCCCAGCCUCCCCUAACAAGCUUAGGCCCAUUGACUUUGGCUCCAAGACUAGGUACAGGAGACAUAUGAAGCUUCCAGAUUGUCAAAGAGUUUAUCAUGCUGCCCAAGUCCCAAGAAACUUGCUAGCACCUGCUAGCACCCAGGCCUCAGGAUUUGAGUGUGGGCCCCAGUCCCCACAGGUGGCCUCUCUGAGGCUGCAGCCUACCUGCUGGGCCUGCUUCCCUUCACCAGUGGGACACUGGGACCCUGGCUUAUUGGGGCCUCCAGCCGAAGGGAGGUGCCAGCCACAGCCUCGCAUCACAGGAAGUCCCCAGGCGCCCUGGCCUGACCCCAACCCUUGUGUGCUCCCUGUCCCUGCAGAGAAGGUAAAUCUAGCUCUUCCUGUAACAGUCCCCUCUGUGAAAACCCCACCUAUUCAGAACACAAUGUGUUCUCAAAGUCUGUGCUUGCCUAUUCUCUGCAGACUCCCCAGGAUGUAACUGUGGAUAAAAAGAUUAUUUAUUUUA